rnacentral:rRNA from 1 species
AUUGAACGCUGGCGGCAUGCUUUACACAUGCAAGUCGAACGGCAGCGCGGGCUUCGGCCUGGCGGCGAGUGGCGAACGGGUGAGUAAUGCAUCGGAACGUGCCCAGUAGUGGGGGAUAGCCCGGCGAAAGCCGGAUUAAUACCGCAUACGACCUGAGGGUGAAAGCGGGGGACCGAAAGGCCUCGCGCUAUUGGAGCGGCCGAUGUCGGAUUAGCUAGUUGGUGGGGUAAAGGCUUACCAAGGCGACGAUCCGUAGCUGGUCUGAGAGGACGACCAGCCACACUGGGACUGAGACACGGCCCAGACUCCUACGGGAGGCAGCAGUGGGGAAUUUUGGACCAUGGGGGCAACCCUGAUCCAGCCAUGCCGCGUGCGGGAAGAAGGCCUUCGGGUUGUAAACCGCUUUUGUUCGGGAAGAAAUCCUCUGGGCUAAUACCCCGGGGGGAUGACGGUACCGGAAGAAUAGGCACCGGCUAACUACGUG